GAGGAUGUAGCUCAGUGGUAGAGUGCCUGUCUGGCACGCUUGAAGCCCUGGGUUCAAUUCCCAGCACCACA
rnacentral:tRNA from 1 species